UUAUUUCAUUUUUUGCAAAAAAAAGUAAAAAUAAAAAUAGAUUUUUUAAAAAUGAUCUGCAAUUUAGUUUAAAAUUAAAGAUAAUUUUUUGCAAUUAAUAGACUAAUUAACACACUUGCUUUACUUACAGGAAUUUAUAUUUUUUGGUGGGCAGCCGGUUGGAGAAAAUCUGAAAAUAUUUUUAAAGAAAUUCUCUGCUCGUUUGUGGUAUUAUGGGUUUAGUUUUGCAGAAAUAUUUUACACUUUUAAAAAAAUUACAGGCAUUUAUUCUGUUUUUGGCAGUAAUUUUGAGGAAAAUGCAAUAUUUUUUUGAGAAAUUCUCUAUAUUUCCAGGUAUCCCCCUAGCUUUGCUAAUCCAUACACACUGGUGGCUGCUCCGCUGUAGUCUGUGCGCUAAGGCACCAACCAGGAGGAGCUGGGAAACCACCGGUCUGAGGCUGAGCUCCAGAUGAUGUGAGCUGAGCCGUAUGGUAGAAAAGUUCUCCAGGGGCUACCCUUCGUGGCUGCCAAGUCAGCACCAGUUUGAAGCCCAGCCUGCACCCCAAGUGGUAGUUGAUCAGCCCUGACCAGAAUAAGAUCAGCCCUGUCUUGAUCCCUCGGGACCAGUGCAUAAUUUAUAA